rnacentral:tRNA from 1 species
CAGCACGUUGUCGGAGUUGGCGAGCAGUUCGACGCCGAGGCCGUCGAGGUAGGCGUGCGGGACGCCCGCGCCGA